UCGGGUGUCGCGUGCCAGUGCUGCGACGGAGGUCCUCUCCAGUCACCACGCCGCGCGCAGGCCGUCGUCUGGAGGACGGCGCAACAUCGCCGGCUGGGAAGGCGAGGCCGCGCCGGAGGACGGUGCUGUGUCUCGCAAGCCGUCGUCACAGGCUUCGAGGCUGCCGCUUGCGUCGUGCGCAGCAUCCCGUGGCCAAGCACAACGCCGGGGCCGAUGGUUGAUGUUCUUGUCGGUGAGUCCUGGUUCUUGUCCUUCCCGAUACUCAUUGUUUGUCGUCUCUCUGCAAUCAAGUGAUUUUACCUUUUGGCAGAUCGUGUUCGAGGCCUUUGGUACUUUAAUCCAUGUAUUCUUCUCCUAUGAACUCGGAUGGAAGUAAUUCUCGUGAGUGCAUACAUGUACACGAGAAAAAUUAUGGAUAGAUCGUUGAUUGAUGGGAAGAAGACAAAGCAAACGGAUAAAUCUCCUGAUCCAGUUUUCCUCUUUUACGGAUUUAUGCAUGCGCAUGUAUUCUCGCCGUGGACGGGGUUGUGGUUGAUUGAAUCGGUAUUGACAGAAAUUCUUCUGUGCGGAAGCCGUGCGCGCUAGACGGAGUCUUCAUAGCGACGCAAACGCGUGCGGGCGCCGCCGUGACCGGUGUCAUUAUCCGCGCCAAGACCGCUGCAGACCGCCGCGCCGGACAACGCCGGCACCGCCAAGGAUCGCUCGAGGCGUUGAGGAAGUCUGCGCGUACACGCCUCGAUGGCUGAGCACCACUAUUCUUUUCUCUGGCCUAAUCACUCUCUGUCAGGGCAAAGUGCUGAUAACGUGUUUAAAGUAGAAAGUAAAGAACGAGAGAGUUUGAAUAAAAGAUGAUUCAUCAGUCUUUAUUGAUGAUAGAAGUGGGCUAUUUAUAGGAAGGCGGUCAAGUAAACAAAUUACAUAGUUGUCUUAAGAGCCAAGGAAGUACAUGGUUGCUUGAGAACCAAGCAACCUAUCUAACAAUUGACUUAAUCCUAAUUAGCUUAAUUAGCUUAAUUGUAAGCAACUAUUCUAUUCUUAACAGAGAUGAGAGCAGGAGCAACAAUCGAAAACGCACCUGCGCGGGGCGCCGCGGCAGCAGUGGGCGGUGGCGCCGUCGGCGGCCGUGGUUCGCGAUAAGCCCCAAGGAAACGCUUUAAAUCGGUCGUGAUCUCGUCCCCUAUUCAAACCGUGCAAGUGCAAGCCUAGCCGCCACUUCUAUCCUUAUCCCCUGGAACCCAAAUCCCAUCCCCGUCAGCUCUGUCAAACUCAAACGCCUCCUCCUUGAUCGGCAAAGGAGUUAAUUCUUUCCUCAGGAAUUACUACCUUCCCUUUCGAGGUAACAGCAAGUGGAAACCCUCUCGAGGCAGUAUAUAUAAAAGUAAAGAAACACACGCGUGUUCACAAAACGGCAAUCAAACGUGCCGUUACCUCGCCACGCGGCAGGCUGCCCGCCGAUGGGACGUGGUUACCGGAGUUUAUCCUAGUACAACUUCGAGCAGUUCAAGCACCACUCGCUGGCGCGCGCAGGUUACGGCCCGCGUCUCCAGGGUCGGUGGCCACCCCAAACUUUUUG
rnacentral:lncRNA from 1 species